rnacentral:rRNA from 1 species
GAGACUUUCAGAGAUGGAUUGGUGCCUUCGGGAACUCUGAGACAGGUGCUGCAUGGCUGUCGUCAGCUCGUGUUGUGAAAUGUUGGGUUAAGUCCCGCAACGAGCGCAACCCUUAUCCUUUGUUGCCAGCGGUUAGGCCGGGAACUCAAAGGAGACUGCCAGUGAUAAACUGGAGGAAGGUGGGGAUGACGUCAAGUCAUCAUGGCCCUUACGAGUAGGGCUACACACGUGCUACAAUGGCGCAUACAAAGAGAAGCGACCUCGCGAGAGCAAGCGGACCUCAUAAAGUGCGUCGUAGUCCGGAUUGGAGUCUGCAACUCGACUCCAUGAAGUCGGAAUCGCUAGUAAUCGUAGAUCAGAAUGCUACGGUGAAUACGUUCCCGGGUCUUGUACACACCGA